rnacentral:rRNA from 1 species
UACGUAGGGUGCAAGCGUUAAUCGGAAUUACUGGGCGUAAAGCGUGCGCAGGCGGUUGUGCAAGACAGAUGUGAAAUCCCCGGGCUUAACCUGGGAACUGCAUUUGUGACUGCACAGCUGGAGUGCGGCAGAGGGGGAUGGAAUUCCGCGUGUAGCAGUGAAAUGCGUAGAGAUGCGGAGGAACACCGAUGGCGAAGGCAGCCCCCUGGGCCAACACUGACGCUCAGGCACGAAAGCGUGGGGAGCAAACAGG